UGAUUGUAACCUGCAGUGAGCAGUGGCUGUGGGUGAGAGUGAAGUGGCGGGUUCUUGGGAAUCACCCGGAGCCCCAGCUGUCCGAACUGUAUCUAGGAACUCGCUGCAGGGUGACUGAAAAGUCCAUGGGCUACUAUGAGUAUUUUUAUCCUCUCUCUCAAUGUGGAAUCAAAACUGAACAGUUCUGGGAAUCUGCUGUCACGUCUUUACAAGCUGCGAUCAAGUACACAGUGAAUGCUGUCGCCAAGAGCCAGCCAAUGGAAAGGGAGGUACGCUCAUGGGGUAUUCUCAUUGAAAGUUCAAUCAAUUAUGAACCAGAAAAUUCAGAUUUCUGGGGUUUCUUACCAAUAUCAUGCUAUAUUCGAAGAUCGUUUACAUUAAAGUAUGUGAAAAAGGAGGUGGCCCAUAGUAGUGGUGAGUCCAAAAAGUCAGCGAGAAAGAAGAGCACAACUUCACAUGAGGCAAAGAGCUCGGUGAGCCAGCCAGAACGGACGGUGAGCAAUAUUGCCCGACCACAUCCAUUUUCUCCCUCCCGAUUAAGUAUGGAAAUUUACCUGUGAAUUCUGGACGGAGAGGCAGCCACGCUAACCCCAGAACUGUGGCUCCUGAGGACCUGCCUGUUGGAGAAUGGAUAAAUGUCCCAUUUUAAAAUUUUCAUUUUAAAUUUUCUCUGCAGUCAGUAUUUAUGAACAUUUUGGGGUGUGUGUGUGUGUGUGUGUGUGUGUGUGUGUGGAGAGCUUCUUCAGAAUUUAAACGUAAUGAAGAUUCCAUUUUCUCCCUCCCGAUUAAGUAUGGAAAUUUACCUGUGAAUUCUGGACGGAGAGGCAGCCACGCUAACCCCAGAACUGUGGCUCCUGAGGACCUGCCUGUUGGAGAAUGGAUAAAUGUCCCAUUUUAAAAUUUUCAUUUUAAAUUUUCUCUGCAGUCAGUAUUUAUGAACAUUUUGGGGUGUGUGUGUGUGUGUGUGUGUGUGUGUUUGUGGAGAGCUUCUUCAGAAUUUAAACUUGUAAUGAAGAAUAUUUUAAAAUAAAG
rnacentral:lncRNA from 1 species